GCUACCAUGCAGUCGAACGAUGAUGGAGAGCUUGCUCUUCGGAUUAGUGGCGAACGGGUGAGUAACACGUGAGCAAUCUGCCCUUGACUCUGGGAUAAGCGUUGGAAACGACGUCUAAUACCGGAUACGACCUUGGAAGGCAUCUUCCUUGGUGGAAAGAAUUUUGGUCAGGGAUGAGCUCGCGGCCUAUCAGCUAGUUGGUGAGGUAAUGGCUCACCAAGGCGACGACGGGUAGCCGGCCUGAGAGGGUGACCGGCCACACUGGGACUGAGACACGGCCCAGACUCCUACGGGAGGCAGCAGUGGGGAAUAUUGCACAAUGGGCGAAAGCCUGAUGCAGCAACGCCGCGUGAGGGACGACGGCCUUCGGGUUGUAAACCUCUUUUAGUAGGGAAGAAGCGAAAGUGACGGUACCUGCAGAAAAAGCACCGGCUAACUACGUGCCAGCAGCCGCGGUAAUACGUAGGGUGCAAGCGUUGUCCGGAAUUAUUGGGCGUAAAGAGCUCGUAGGCGGUUUGUCGCGUCUGCUGUGAAAACCCGAGGCUCAACCUCGGGCCUGCAGUGGGUACGGGCAGACUAGAGUGCGGUAGGGGAGAUUGGAAUUCCUGGUGUAGCGGUGGAAUGCGCAGAUAUCAGGAGGAACACCAAUGGCGAAGGCAGAUCUCUGGGCCGUAACUGACGCUGAGGAGCGAAAGCAUGGGGAGCGAACAGGAUUAGAUACCCUGGUAGUCCAUGCCGUAAACGUUGGGAACUAGAUGUGGGGACCAUUCCACGGUCUCCGUGUCGCAGCUAACGCAUUAAGUUCCCCGCCUGGGGAGUACGGCCGCAGGUAAC
rnacentral:rRNA from 1 species